AAAGCAAAUGCACUAGCUCUGAUAGCUGUGGACAUUGGAGCACUUACCAUGGCACUUAAAGCUGUGGCAUUCCCAGAAAGAUGAACUCUAACCAAGCUACAUAGUCCUGAACAUCCCAAGGCCAUGGCUGCUAACCCCAUCAACAAAGUCAGAAUCCAUUGGAUCGAUACCCAAAGUCAUCACAGACAUGAUUCUCACCAAGUUUGUAUUUGCCAUUGCAGCCCUCCCUCUAGUACUGCAGUACAGUGACACCACAAAUUUCUAACUCCAUUGCUGCAUUCACCUUUCUCUGGACAAAUUGUCACACUCUAAGUAAUGGGCAAGUCUGUAGUAAAAUACAACAUAAAUUGUCAGAUUCUGAUCAAAUAACAAACUUAUUAAAUUUCACAAAAUCUAUACAGUGUUUGUCUG